AUUGAACGUUGGCGGCAUGCCUUACACAUGCAAGUCGAACGGUAACGGGCCUUCGGGUGCCGACGAGUGGCGAACGGGUGAGUAAUGUAUCGGAACGUACCUUUCAGUGGGGGAUAACGUAGCGAAAGUUACGCUAAUACCGCAUAUUCUGUGCGCAGGAAAGCAGGGGAUCGCAAGACCUUGCGCUGAUUGAGCGGCCGAUAUCAGAUUAGCUAGUUGGUGAGGUAAAGGCUCACCAAGGCGACGAUCUGUAGCGGGUCUGAGAGGAUGAUCCGCCAAACUGGAACUGAGACACGGUCCGGACUCCUACGGGAGGCAGCAGUGGGGAAUUUUGGACAAUGGGGGCAACCCUGAUCCAGCCAUGCCGCGUGAGUGAAGAAGGCCUUCGGGUUGUAAAGCUCUUUUGGCCGGGAAGAAAUCGCACGGGCUAAUACCCUGUGUGGAUGACGGUACCGGAAUAAGAAGCACCGGCUAACUACGUGCCAGCCGCCGCGGUAAUAC
rnacentral:rRNA from 1 species